AGAAUCCACCUCACUUACGGUUUUCCCCUGCAUCAUCACGGGGAAAUAAUAGGGAAUCCGGUGAAGACAAGAUGUUCGUAAUCCGGAACUGCCCCCGCAACUGUAAUCGGUGAGUCUGUUUGCCACUCUUGCCACUGGACUUGAUCCGGGAAGGCCGCAAGCAAGACGAUGACCCGAGAGUCAGGAGACCUGCCGCAAGUGAGCUAUGUUG
rnacentral:ncRNA from 2 species